AUUUCGCUACCUUAGGACCGUUAUUCCUUGUCGGGUAAGUUCCGACCUGCACGAAUGGCGUAAUGAUGGCCAGGCUGUCUCCACCCGAGACUCAGUGAAAUUGAAAUUGCCGUGAAGAUGCGGUGUACCCGUGGCAAGACGGAAAGACCCCGUGAACCUUUACUAUAGCUUGACAGUGAACAUUGAGCCUUAAUGUGUAGGAUAGGUGGGAGGCAAUGAAUUGUGUACGCCAGUAUGCAUGGAGCCGACCUUGAAAUACCACCCUUUAAUGUUUGAUGUUCUAACCUAUACUUUUGAAUCAAGGUAAGGGACACUGUCUGGUGGGUAGUUUGACUGGGGCGGUCUCCUCCCAAAGAGUAACGGAGGAGCACGAAGGUUAGCUAAUCCUGGUCGGACAUCAGGAGGUUAGUGCAAUGGCAAAAGCUAGCUUGACUGCGAGAGUGACGGCUCGAGCAGGUACGAAAGUAGGUCAUAGUGAUCCGGUGGUUCUGAAUGGAAGGGCCAUCGCUCAACGGAUAAAAGGUACUCCGGGGAUAACAGGCUGAUACCGCCCAAGAGUUCAUAUCGACGGCGGUGUUUGGCACCUCGAUGUCGGCUCAUCACAUCCUGGGGCUGAAGCAGGUCCCAAGGGUACGGCUGUUCGCCGUUUAAAGUGGUACGCGAGCUGGGUUUAGAACGUCGUGAGACAGUUCGGUCCCUAUCUGCCGUGGGCGUAGGAAAGUUGAGGAGAGCUGUCCCUAGUACGAGAGGACCGG
rnacentral:rRNA from 1 species